rnacentral:ncRNA from 2 species
CGAUAUAUUCCGGGGUGUUCACUAAUUUAGUGAUCUGAGAUGAUACCCGCCGACCUGAUUUGGAUAAUGCCAACGAAGGGAGAACCCAUCUCACCCCC